AUCAAAUUAGCAAAAGCUAAUGCAAUUGAUUUAGGAUCAAUAGAUAUGGGUGAAAUCCCCUUAUUUGAUA
rnacentral:tRNA from 1 species